rnacentral:lncRNA from 1 species
GGGGAUCCCCUCGAUUUCAUUAACGAAACCAAAUAUCUGUCAAUUCCAACCAGAAAUGCAGACCAACAUGUUUUUGUGUUUCCAAAACUUCGCCCAUGCCCUCUCUUGUAUACAAGGAUGGCAAGGCUUUAAGGAGAAAAGGUUCCUAUGUGAGCAUCACCCACAAGGAACUCAGCUAGACCAGACACAGCCUGAACAAAACAUCUAAGCAAGCAAAACUCUCUAUAGUCCACUAAUUUUGAAUCAAUCUUCGAUCCUUGGAACCCAAGAUGCCCAGCUCCUUCGCGCCUGGAAGAUGUCACUCGCGACUCGCUCCAGCAGCUUUGCGCCCUGUUGCAGCUCCAGUUUUGCGUCCUCCCUCCCCUGCAAAACACUCCAAUCAUUAAUCCAAUGCACCAUCUUAUACAUAACCACACUAGGAUCAGCAGGCCAGAUAUGUUGAAAACAAGCUAAAUUUCUAGUCUUCCAGAUGCUCCAAAUCAAAGCCGCUACCCCUACAAAAAUUACUUUCUUUUUCUUCUUUCCAAAAUUUCCCAGCCAAACAUUCAAGCAUGUUUCCACAUUGUAAAAAUCACAUUGAAUCCCUAUUAUGUGGCUUACCAUACUCCACAUAUAUCUGGCCAGGGGGCAUUGGAAAAAAAGAUGGUUAAUAGAUUCAUUUUUACCACAAAAAAGGCAUUGUUUCUCACAUUUUUCGCCCCUAUGAAGUAGAACAUCCCUGGUUAAGAUACUUUUUUUGGUAACUAGCCAGAUGAAUGUUUAAUUCUAGGGGGUAUUUUAACUUUCCAUAAGAAUCUAUUUGGACAUUUUUCCCCAACUUGUAACACCGAAUAAAAAGAUCUAACGCUAUAUUCUCCCAAUCCCUCUGGGAUCCAGAAAAGCUUAUCAUCUUCUUUAUUCAGGACGACUUCUCCACACAUUUUCAGUAGAUCUUGCCAUUGACUUGCCUUAUCCCCCACCAAAUUCCUCCUGAAUUUCAGCGAGGUGAGAUGAGAAGACAAAGCGUCAGCUACAGCGAUAUGUUGGUCUAGAGAAACAUUAUAGAGUUCAUGGAAAGUGACUGCUAAGCUCUUGCUUCCAGUCCAAUUAUCUUCCCACAAUCUCGUUUUCUCACCAUUCCCUAUAAUAAAUUUGCAACAUGCCAAAAACAGAUUUGCAUUUCAUCACACCCUCCGAGAAGUGUGAGUCUCCUGCUUUUUUUUGCACCUGUCCAAAAGUGUUUUUCCCAAUAUAUUUGUCCCAUAAGACGUUUUGCCAUAAACCUUUUUCAUUGAAAAGUUUCCAAAGCCAAUUGGAUAGUAAGGCAAUAUUCAUUUAAUCAAGGUCCAGAAUCCCUAGGCCACCCAGUGUUUUGGGUCUACAAACUCUCUCCCAAGCAACUAGGUGGUAUUUAUGUUUAUCUUCCUCUCCACUCCAUAAAAAACUUGCCCUUGGUCUAUCCAUUUUCUUUUUAACCCCCUUAGGAACCUCAUAAAAGGAGAGCAUGUAAAGGAUUAGACUAGUGAGGGAAGAAUUUAUUAAAGUGGUUCUUCCAGCAAUAUUUAAAAGCCUACCUAGCCAACUCCCUAGUCUUUUCUCCAAUUUGGAAAUAGAAGGGUUCCAAUCAGUUCCUUUCAAUCUUUUCUCGUCCAAAGGAAUCCCCAAAUAUUUAAAGGGAAGCUUUCCUUUUCUACAAGUUAAGAUUUCUUCAAAUUGUUUAAUUCUGUCUUCAUCCACCCCAACACAGAUCACUUCACUCUUAUGAAAAUUAAUUUUCAAACCAGACAUAAUCUCAAAAAGGUUCAGAAUCCUUUCACAUUUUUUGCUUGCACCAAAUCAUCCUGAAAAAGAAUGAUAGUGUCAUCUUCAUAUUGCAAAAUAGACACAUCAUUUUCUUUGUGAUUUUUAGCAAGACCACUAACCAAAUUUUUUCCUACAGCUCUGUCAAAUGAAAUUGCGAGUAUAUCUACCGCUAGCUCAAACAACAAAGGAGAUAUUGAGUCUCCUUGUCGUAGUCCUUGAUGGGUUUUGAAAUAGGAGCCAAUUUCUCCAUUAACCUUACUAGCUACCUUCCCUCCAGUAACUGUCUUCAUCACCCAAUUAAUCAUUCUACCUGGGAAUUUUUUCAUCUCAAGAAUAUGAAGAAGAAAAGGCCAUUUAACUUUGUCAAAGGCUUUUUCAAAAUCAAUCUUAAAAAGUACCCCCGAUUUCUUUUCUUUAUGCAUAGAAUUCAGAGUUUCAUGUAGCACCACACACCCUCUAGUAUGUAUCUCCCCUGGAUAAAAGCAGUUUGAGAUGCCUUAAUUACCCCAGAAAUAACAAGCACAAUUCUGUUAACUAAGAUUUUUGUAAAAAAAAUUAAAACCACAUUCAGCAAGCAAAUUGGUCUAUAUUACUGAAUUCUACCAGCAUCACUUCCUUUCGGAAUGAGGGAAAUAACCCCAUAAUUUAGUCUCUCCAGAUCUUGAUUAUGAGAAUAAAAUUCCUCAAGCAAUCUGAAUAGAUCACUUUUCACCAAUUCCCAAUAAUGUUGAUAAAAUUCAAUACUAAAACCAUCCGGUCCAGCAGCUUUAUUUUUUUCCAUUCCAAACACGGCCUUCUUCAACUCCUCCAUUGUAAACUUUUUUGUGAGAAAGUUUUGCUCCUUCUCAGUGAGUGUUUCCACCCCACUAGAGUCUAUUUUAAGAGCAUUAUUUUCUGGUUCACAAAACAAUUUCUUAUAGAAAUUAGUAGUAUAAUUUUUCAGAUUAUCUUGCCCCUCAAUCACCCCUUCAUCUUGCUGCAAUUUAAUAAUCCUAUUUUUCCUCAAUCUGCCAUUAGCUUUAAUGAGAUAGUAUCUAGUAUUUGAAUCUCCUUCCAGCAACUCAGUAUCAUGGGACCUUUGCAACCAUUUAAUUUCAUCCUCUUUUAAAAAAAAUACAAUUCAUCACGGUAAGUUUUCUUAUAUUCUCUGUCAUAGCUAUUCAACACCUCAUCUUCUUCUAACUUAUCUAGCCUGUCAAUUUCUUCGAGCAAUCCUUUUUUCUAUGUCCUCAUGUUAGCUUCAAAGUAGAGGUUCCACCCCUUCAGCGCUUUCCUCAAUUCUUUCAUCUUAUUGUGAAAUUUAUCAAGGAAAGAGAUACCAGGGUAUUCCUUAUUCCGCACCUUUUCAACUAUUUUAUCCAGGUCUACCCUCUGAAACCAGCAAUUUUCAAAUUUGAAAAUGUAAGGUUUCGGUUGCAGUUCCCCAGUUCUAAUAAUCAACGGUGUAUGAUCCGAUAAUCCCCAGUCCAGCGUAUCUAUGUGUACUGAGGGAAAAAAUUUCUACCAGGCAGGUGAGAUCAACACUAUCUAACAAUGCAUAAGUGGGGUCCUCAUGAUUGUUAGACCAAGUGUAUUUCCUUCCCACCAAAGGUAGCUCCAGCAUUUCCCCAAAAGUAAUGAUGGAGUUAAAAAGUAAACUCCAUUUGUUAUAGCCUCCAGGUUUAUUCUUGUCACUACUUUUCCUAGUUAGGUUAAAAUCUCCUGCAACCAGCAAGGGAUUUUUGGAUUUCUUAAAAAUAUGCACCAGUUCCACUAGGAAUUUAGGUUUGCCCGAAGGUUGUGCAUCACCAUGAACUACUACUAAGUUCCAAGUAAAACCAUCACUAACAUUACUGACAUUAACUCUAACAAAAUAUUCACCAAACUCAACCUCUCUUUUAGCUAAAGUAGUUUUAUUAAUACCUACUAAAAUUCCACCAGACCUUCCUCUAGAAGGUAAAAAAUCCCAACCAAAAUCUUCCUGGGUACUCAACGCCGAC